GAUGAACGCUGGCGGCGUGCCUAAUACAUGCAAGUCGAGCGAACGGACGAGAAGCUUGCUUCUCUGAUGUUAGCGGCGGACGGGUGAGUAACACGUGGAUAACCUACCUAUAAGACUGGGAUAACUUCGGGAAACCGGAGCUAAUACUGGAUAAUAUUUUGAACCGCAUGGUUCAAAAUUGAAAGACGGUCUUGCUGUCACUUAUAGAUGGAUCCGCGCUGCAUUAGCUAGUUGGUAAGGUAACGGCUUACCAAGGCAACGAUGCAUAGCCGACCUGAGAGGGUGAUCGGCCACACUGGAACUGAGACACGGUCCAGACUCCUACGGGAGGCAGCAGUAGGGAAUCUUCCGCAAUGGGCGAAAGCCUGACGGAGCAACGCCGCGUGAGUGAUGAAGGUCUUCGGAUCGUAAAACUCUGUUAUUAGGGAAGAACAUAUGUGUAAGUAACUGUGCACAUCUUGACGGUACCUAAUCAGAAAGCCACGGCUAACUACGUG
rnacentral:rRNA from 1 species